rnacentral:rRNA from 1 species
UGGGGAAUAUUGCACAAUGGGCGCAAGCCUGAUGCAGCCAUGCCGCGUGUGUGAAGAAGGCCUUCGGGUUGUAAAGCACUUUCAGCGAGGAGGAAGGUGGUGAGCUUAAUACGCUCAUCAAUUGACGUUACUCGCAGAAGAAGCACCGGCUAACUCCGUGCCAGCAGCCGCGGUAAUACGGAGGGUGCAAGCGUUAAUCGGAAUUACUGGGCGUAAAGCGCACGCAGGCGGUUUGUUAAGCCAGAUGUGAAAUCCCCGGGCUCAACCUGGGAACUGCAUUUGAAACUGGCAAGCUAGAGUCUCGUAGAGGGGGGUAGAAUUCCAGGUGUAGCGGUGAAAUGCGUAGAGAUCUGGAGGAAUACCGGUGGCGAAGGCGGCCCCCCUGGACGAAGACUGACGCUCAGGUGCGAAAGCGUGGGGCAGCAAACAGGAUUAGAUACCCUGGUAGUCCACGCUGUAAACGAUGUCGAUUUGGAGGUUGUGCCCCUUGAGGCGUGGCUUCCGGAGCUAACGCGUUAAAUCGACCGCCUGGGGAGUACGGCCGCAAGGUUAAAACUUAAAUGAAUUGACGGGGUCAUAGCUG